ensembl:lncRNA LINC01234 long intergenic non-protein coding RNA 1234
AUUUUCCUGGAGCGGCUGGGAAAGAGGAGUCUCUCGAAAUUCAGCAACUGCUAACAGCGAGGAGGGGUUUUGAAAGGUAAAGGCCAUUAGCUUGGAGGCAGAAGACAGACCUCCCUGACUGCUGAAUUCCUGCCGGCCUGAAAUUGGAGCAUUCCAAGCUCCUCAGAUGAGUCAUAAGCCACCAAGAUUGUGAGCCUCUGGAAACUUCAUCAUGAAAUGUUGGGGACCUGCCUCACCAGGUUGAUGUAAGGACCUCGUGGGAUGAAGCCAGCUCAGUGACCAUUCCAGAGAGGACACUCGACACAUGAAACAAGGUCUCACUCUAUCACCCACCUGGAGUAUAGUAGCACGAUCAUGGCUCACUACAGCCUCAAACUCCUGGACUCAAGCAGUCUUCCCACCUUGGUCUCUCGAGCAGCUGUGACUACAGGUGCACACCACCACACCCAGCUAAUUUUGGUGUUGUUGUUAUUGCCCAAGCUGGUCCCAAACUCCUGGGCUCAAGUGAUCCUCCUGCCUCUGCCUUCCAAAGUGCUGGGAUUACGGAUGUGAGCCACCACACCUGACCAGGAUAAAUUCUGAUGGCUGC